AUUGAACGCUGGCGGCAGGCCUAACACAUGCAAGUCGAACGAGUGGCGGACGGGUGUGUAGUGUCUGGGAAACUGCCUGAUGGAGGGGGAUCACUACUGGAAACUGUCGAUUACACCGCAUACUAUCAGAUGUGCCCAUAUGGGAUUAGCUUGUUGGGGGGGUAACGGCUCACCAAGGCGACUAUCCAUAGCUGGUCUGAGAGGAUGACCAGCCACACUGGAACUGAGACACGGUCCAGACUCCUACGGGAGGCAGCAGUGGGGAAUAGUGCACAAUGGGCGCAAGCCUGAUGCAGCCAUGCCGCGUGUAUGAAGAAGGCCUUCGGGUUGUAAAGUACUUUCAGCGGGGAGGCGUUACCCGCAGAAGAAGCACCGGCUAACUCCGUGCCAGCAGCCGCGGUAAUAC
rnacentral:rRNA from 1 species